GGAACGCAGCCAUAGACGUCUAAUGCAUAUCCAUACUACGUCCACUAUAGAUAUUUAUAUGAUAUCUAAUAUUAACAUCUAUUAGACCUCUGUGCGACAUUUAUUUCCAUGAUGAAUGACCGAUAGUUUAUAUAAAAUUCAUUACGAACAUUGGCUGCGUUCAGCAGAACUCAGCGCUUAGCAAGCGCUUUGCUAUUUUUACUUGCUAUUGGCUUGUACUCUCAUAGUUUCAAUAGAUCUACAAGAAAAGGCCAAUCACAGACAAUAAGCGCAAAGCGCUUGCCAAGCGCUGAGUUCUGCUGAACGCAGUCAUUGCCAGAGAAGAUGACAUACAGCUGCACCAAUCUUUUUGGAAAAAUCUCAGUGACACUCUGUGUACAGGUUAUGUGCUGGUGACAGGUAAAGAUUUGGUAUGCUGACUUGGAGAAAUAACAGUCAGAUAAGUAAUAAUGUGUUUCUUGGAUCUCUGCGUGCGAAAGAACCUAACUGAGUAAAAACUUUGAUUCUUUAAUGUGUAUUUUUCUUUAUUUUUACUGGUGAGGUUGCAGCUGUCAGGUAUACGCACUCAAUGCACUACUAGCAAAGUGAGGAGCUGUCAACUACCCAGGACUUUGCACAGCUGUCACUAUGUAAAGAUAUUGUAAUAUACAGGUACAACAGACUACACAGAAGGUGCAUACUACUGUCACUGCAUGAGACUCAGCACUGGAUAUAAAGAUAUGGAAAUCAAUAAUAAAGAGAUAA